GGAAGGACACGGUGGUGCAGGAUGAAGACCUAGAGGGUUCCGAUCUGAUGAACCACGGAGACAGAAGAGGGCGAGGUCAGCAGACUGUCAAAGCUCUUUAAUCAGAUCACAGAAAACAGGAGAUUGAAGCAUUUCAAAGUGACAUUUGACAUAAUCAAAAUAUAUCGGUUGGGCAGGCGGGGCUGCCCCGUAAAGGUGGUGCUGAUGGUGUUACUGUACCAUACACAGGUGGAGCUCUGACAGAAAGGCUUUUUAAAAGGUUCAUUGGUCAAGUAAUCAGGAAGAGCUCCCCCUCGCUGCAGGUCGACAUUAAGAGCUUUUCUCAAACAGCUGCUGACCAAACGGAAAGUUCAAACUAAAAUAAAGUCCAACAUCAUGGCUCCAACAAGGCGUGUCAACGACGCCUCACUCUGAUAGGUCCUUUAUACAAACACACACACACACACACACACACACACACACACACACACACACACCCCUCAGCACCCACCCCCCUUAGCCUCGCAGCAACCAAUCACAGACGACAAGCGCGUGUUCCUCCAGUGAGUCCAACUGACAGAAGACGGACCAGGUGGUCCGGGUCUCUUUGACCUCUGACCUCUCGCUCCCGACCACUCAACACACUUAUUUACAUACACACAUUUAAAACACACAACCUAUCUCUCUUAAUAUUUUAGUUACACACAACUACGACACGCAGAGCCCGGGAGUUCUAGAGGCUGUGAUUCGCUGCUCCGUCCGGCCUUAAAUAAACAUGGUUGUAUGGUUAGAGCGUCAGCCCAAUAAAAGAACAAACACACACACACACAAACACUGGGCCCCUGGCGGUGUGUAUGUGUGUGGAGUAGGGCUUUGACUUUUGCCCAAAAAUCGUAUUCGAAGUUUGUUUGUUUAUUAAUAUUAAAAUAUAUUCGACAUUUAUUAUUGAUAUUUUGACCAUUAAAUCCCUUCAGUAAGACCUGGAUUGGGCUUCGCGAGGUUUGUUUACUGGUGCUGCUAUGGUUACCGGUCUUGCGCGUUCCAACGGUUAUUAGGUUUCUAAUAAAUCGCUGUCUAAUCAAUACUUCAUUCACUGCCUCUUCCGUGGUCAUUACAAUAUUAUGAAUGGACUGCGUCGGGUUGUCCGACGUCUCUCCCUCUUGGCCUGCCCAUAACAGGUACGAGUAUUACGAAUGCCUAAUAUUCGUUCGAAUUUUGAUUUAUUUAUAUUUAUUCGAAUUAUAUUCGAAUGACGAAGUUCGGGAUCAAAGCCCUAGUAUGGGCGCAGCACACACACGGGCCCUCACGUUGUGGGGGCCCUGGCGGUGUGUGUGUGUGUGUGUGUGUGUGUGUGUGUGUGUGUGUGUGUGUGUGUCAGCAGAAUGAUUGAGUUCCACAAUAAAAGUCCCUUUAACCCCCGUGACCCCAGAGCGUCACAUGAUUGACUCUGGGCAUUCACAACCACCGCAAGGCCUCUCUCAGAACCCCCAGCACCCCCAGCACUGACCGCUGUUGGACCAGUGCACAGACUGCAGCACAGGCCGUCCAGGUCUCUGGCCCCUGGUGCAGGGAGGGACCAGAGAGAGCAGGACUCCAUCCAGGUAGAAGAUGUUUAAUGUGGAAUGCGUCGUCAGGCCGGGCGGUCCCGGGGGGAUGGGGAUGGGGGGAAAAUCAAAGCAGCAACAGUCUUCUAGGAAGUAAGGCUUGGAGUGGCGAGGCAGCACCCAGAUCCACUACCUGCCGUAGGGGUCUCCAUGGGGGAACCCUCCACUAGCAAGGCUGCUCCCCGGGGUCUGGGGGGCCCCCACCCUGGGGGGGUCCACUCUGGGGGGCUCUACCCUGGGGGGGUCCACUCUGUACCCCCCACUGAGGUCUGCCCUGGGGGGGUCUACCCUGUAGUCCACUCUGGGGGGGUCCACCCUGGGGAGGACGGGGCUGUGGAAGGAGGAGGUCUCUGAAGAGAAGAGCAGAGAAGACGAAGGUGGAGCUGCCACAGAGGAGUCUUCUACCGGCUCACCGAGGAACACACGGUCCACGUCUCCAGGGAGAGGGGUCCGUCCUGCUGCUGAAGAACCAGGCUGAGGGGGCGGUCCUGCGGUGGAGGAGCCCGGGGCCUCUGGGUGGGGGCUCUGUCCUGCGAUGGAGGGGCCCGGGGCCUCUGGGUGGGGGGUCUGUCCUGCGGUGGAGGGGCCCGGGGCCUCUGGGUGGGGGCUCUGUCCUGCGGUGGAGGGGCCCGGGGCCUCUGGGUGGGGGGUCUGAACUGCGGUGGAGGGGCCCGGGGCCUCUGGGUGGGGGCUCUGUCCUGCGGUGGAGGGGCCCGGGGCCUCUGGGUGGGGGCUCUGUCCUGCAGUGGAGGGGCCCGGGGCCUCUGGGUGGGGGGUCUGUCCUGCGGUAGAGGGGCCCGGGGCCUCUGGGUGGGGGCUCUGUCCUGCGGUGGAGGGGCCCGGGGCCUCUGGGUGGGGGGUCUGAACUGCGGUGGAGGGGCCCGGGGCCUCUGGGUGGGGGCUCUGUCCUGCGGUAGAGGGGCCCGGGGCCUCUGGGUGGGGGCUCUGUCCUGCGGUGGAGGGGCCCGGGGCCUCGGGGUGGGCGCUGGGUCUGGCCCCGGCAGCGGUCUGGGACCCCCGGUGGAUGCGGUGACUGACGAUGAUGUUGUUCCCGAAGCCCCCCAUGGAGGCCAUGGUUGUGCUCUGCUCGCGCUGGACCACCGCCGUCAUGCCCCCCUCCGCGAUCAGCCGGCGGAUCCGGGCCAGAGCGUCCUCCCC
ensembl:lncRNA